rnacentral:misc_RNA from 1 species
CGCACCUUGCGCCCUUUGGCAUUCCGAAGGGCACGCCUGUUUGAGUGUCAUGUUCAUCUCAAUCCAACCGCUUUGCGGCGUGUCUGGAUUGGAUUUGGGAGCCUGCUGGCCCUUUCUUUUGAAGGGUCGGCUCUCCUUGAAUAUAUGAGUGAGCAUCUGGCUCGCGUCUGCUGGUGUGAUAGUUAUUCAUCAUUGGCGUCGCUUGCUUAACGGGCUUGCUUCCGAACCGUCUUCUCAAUGGAGACAAAUCUUAAUUGACCUCUUUGACCUCAAAUCAGGUGGGACUACCCGCUGAACUUAA